rnacentral:misc_RNA from 1 species
GAUGAAGAACGCAGCGAAAUGCGAUACUUGGUGUGAAUUGCAGAAUCCCGUGAACCAUCGAGUCUUUGAACGCAAGUUGUGCCCGAAGCCAUUAGGCCGAGGGCACGCCUGCCUGGGCGUCACACGUCGUUGCCCCCCCAUCUACUCCUUCGGGAUUGCGGGGGGCGGAUGAUGGCCUCCCGUGCGCCUCGUCGCGCGGUUGGCAUAAAUGCCAAGUCCUCGGCGACGCACGCCACGACAAUCGGUGGUUGCGAAACCUCGGUUGCCCGUCGUGUGCGGUCGUCGCGCAUCGAGGGCUCGAAAAAAUUGCCGGGCUCCGGCUCGGCUUUCAACGCGACCCCAGGUCAGGCGGGGUUACCCGCUGAAUUUAAGCAUAUCAAUAAGCGGAGGA